rnacentral:rRNA from 1 species
GACGAACGCUGGCGGCGUGCUUAACACAUGCAAGUCGAACGAUGAACCGGAGCUUGCUCUGGGGAUUAGUGGCGAACGGGUGAGUAACACGUGGGCAACCUGCCCCAGACACCGGGAUAACCAUUGGAAACGAUGGCUAAUACCGGAUACGACCACUUCGGGCAUCCGAUGGUGGUGGAAAGGAUUCUGGUCUGGGAUGGGCCCGCGGCCUAUCAGCUUGUUGGUGGGGUAAUGGCCUACCAAGGCGACGACGGGUAGCCGGCCUGAGAGGGCGACCGGCCACACUGGGACUGAGACACUGCCCAGACUCCUACGGGAGGCAGCAGUGGGGAAUAUUGCGCAAUGGGCGAAAGCCUGACGCAGCGACGCCGCGUGAGGGACGAAGGUCCUCGGAUUGUAAACCUCUUUCAGCAGGGAUGAAGCGAAAGUGACAGUACCUGCAGAAGAGGCACCGGCUAACUACGUGCCAGCCGCCGCAGUAAUAC